GAAUUAAAGAGCCAAAUUAAAAAACAAGGCAAAACAAAUAAGGCGUACUUGAGUACUGGCGCGGAAGGAAGGAUCUAGUGCAUAAUUUCCCGAUUCAAACACAAGGGCGCAGAUCCAACUUGCUUAUCAGGCCAACGCGCGGAUCUUUAUCCCUUUAAACGGCACCGUUUUGUUUGGUUAUUAAAAUCACAGAAAAAUGAAUGGCUAUCUGCCAUUUUUGCAAGCCACAAACUGAAUACCCCCUGCUAGGGUUUCGGCGUAGCCUAAGGGAGAUGAUGGAGCGCCGUCGCACCACCAUAGAUCCGGUGGUCGAUCACGCACAGGAAGAAUACGACGAGAGGCCAGAGGUGUGCAUGGCGCGGAGGAGUUAUUCGUGGGCGUGGAGCGUGGCGCGCGUGGAAGAAUAGGUUGGAGACUGCGGCGGCCGAAGCUUUUAGUAACCUAGGGUUUUUGCCAAAAAAUUAAUUAGUGUUUUGGGCCUGGGGUAAUGGGUUAGGACUAGGCUUUAUUUAAAGGACUUUGGACUAUUAAUAAAUUUGGGCCCUUAUUUGUAAAUGGACUUAAGACAAUUAAUUUAUUAUUUUUAUUUUA